CGGUAUCCGUAGUAAACUCACUUUGCAGCCCAACCAAUAGGUAGUUUCUUUUAUAUCCCGCGGGUGACCGCGGUCUUUGAUAUUAUCGUGCGUAAACUCGGGUCGAUGAACGAUUUUGGCACAAGAAGAGUGAAUAACUACGCAAUGUGAAUUACCCUAGUCAGUGCUUAGCCACGCUGAGCGCUAAAAACAGCAGAAACAGACAUGAAGAGAGUGAAAUGUGUUCAUAGAUGAGAUUAGAGUCGUGUGUUUGUUUUCGGUGUUUCGAGGAAAACGAUGGCUAAUUCUCCGACGAGUAUAGAGACACAAAUAGACAGUUUCUUGGAGCAGUUCAAAAGAAGUGCUUCAAAGGCUAUGGAGGAGAAGAUGGAGUGGCCUGAUGGCCCAUCGCCGGGAGCCGUGGUCAAAUCACGCAGUAGCUGUUUUGCCUUAGACGCAGCUGUUGAAGCGGAAUGCGACGGGUGCGGCGAGGGCGAGGAGGGCCGCAGCGUAGGCGAGCUGCUGCUGCCGCAGUAUGCGCUUGCGACGGGCGGGCUGGCGCGCGACCACCGCCCACUGAUCACCUUCCCCGACAACAACAACUUCCAUGUCCUAUCAGCUGGAGAGUACCGCAGGCUGCUGCUGUACUUGACUUCUAUACCCUCGUUACUUGAAGCAGAGAUGGGGUUUCACAUAAUUAUUGAUAGAAGGAAGGAUCGGUGGAAUUCAGUCAAGACAGUAUUACUAAGAAUCUCGGAAUUCUUCCCCGGCAUAAUCCACACAGUUUACGUCCUACGACCAGCGAGUUUCCUCCAGAAGGCUCUGUCUGAAGUGAGCAGCAAGCUAUUUAAGGAAGAGUUCCGGUUCCGGGUGCUGGUGUGCUCCGGAGUUGAGGAGUUGUGUGAACACUUCGACCGCUCACAGCUGACGCCGGACCUCGGCGGAGAGCUGCAGUACUCGCACGCUGAGUGGAUACAGCAACGGAUAGCUCUGGAGAAAUUCUCGACGCUGAUGAAGGAGAUCUCGAGCAAGCUGGACGACUUCAUGCACGAGAUAGUGGACUGCGACAUGGGCAACGACCCCUCACAAACCAAAGAAUUAUUAGACUCUCAGGAGACUAGGUAUAAAGCUUUAAAAGACGAGUUAACGUCAGCGACGACGCAAGGCGAGGAGCUGCUGACGCAGGUGCGGAAACCAAACCUCACCUACAACAUUAUUAGCCACGUGGCUGCCGUCGAGAGGCUACUGGUGCAACUUGAAGAGACUGAAAGACAAUUCGAUAACUUUUGGCAAAAACAUUCCACGAAGUUAAACCACUGGUUGAAAUUUAGAACAUUUUUAUUGAACUUUAAACAGAUGCAGGCGACUUUAGACGGUCAUCUAAAGACUGCGUGCGACAUGACUGAGGUAGGGGAGACUGCGAGUCGUGUGGAGAACCUCAUACAAGAAGCUGGUGACUUCGAAAAACUGUGCAACUGUGAUCUCAACACCGCUUCAGCCGUUAUAGAAGACGGUGAGAAGUUAAUGCAAGACCCUCUCAGUUCGGUGGACCACAUCGAGUCCAAAUGCGAGGAGUUACGACGAACGAGCGCGCUGCUCAUAGACAAGAUAAACAAACGAAACAUGCUGCUGGCUAAAGCGAGGGAACUGAUGGACAGGAUAGACAAGGCCAACGAAUGGUGCACGACGGGUGUGGAACUCUUAGCCGGGGAAGGCGGGCUGCUGGCGGUGGACAAGUUGCUGGAGGACGCGCAGACCUUCGGCCUGGCAGCGCCCGACCAGUUCCGGGACAUGCUGAUGCACUCUGCCACGCAGGAGACACGCGCGCUCGUUACUCAGGUGGCUCAGCGAGUAGAAGACGUGUGGCUGAUGGUGUCAGUGAAGCGCGCGACGCUGCAGCGAGCCGCGACCAAGCCGGCGCGGCCUGUGCAGUCAGUGCCGCCGCAGAGCGCGCAGCCGCCGCCCAGCGCACAGAUGGAGACGUCAGGCGGUUCGGAGAGCUCCGGUGGCGAGGACGCCGAGGCGCGACGCUCACGGCGUGGACACGUGCUUGCCGAGCUGCUGCAGACCGAGCGCGUCUACGUGCACGAGCUGGGCUCCAUACUCAACGGCUACAAGGAAGAAAUAGAGAAGCCGGAGAACCAGCACCUGGUACCGGCAGCGCUAGUCGGCCAAGCAGACGUGCUGUUUGGCAACCUCCACGAACUCUUCACAUUCCACCAAGACGUCUUCCUCAAGGACCUCGAGCGAUCCAUAUCGGCGACUGAACUCGUUGCGCUAUGUUUUGUCGAAAAGCGCGAAACGUUCUUCCGGCUAUACAGCUACUACUGCCAGAACAUCCCCCGCUCGGAGCGGCUGCGGGAGACCUUAGUGGACACCCAUCUAUUCCUGCAGGCGUGCCAACUGCGGCUGGGACACAAGCUGCCUCUCGCUGCCUACCUGCUCAAACCCGUGCAGCGGAUCACCAAAUACCAGCUGCUUCUUAAGGACUUACUCCGGUACAGUGAGUGUGGGUCGAUGAGUACGGGUCUGCAGGAAGCUCUGGACUGUAUGCUCGUCGUGUUGAAGUGCGUCAACGACUCCAUGCAUCAGAUCGCCAUCACUGGGGUUCCGGUGGACCUCAGCCAGCAAGGCGAGCUGCUGAUGCAGGGCUCGUUCCUGGUAGUAUCAGAGAACAAGCGAGACCUACGGCUGAGGAUACGGCCGCGCCGCCGACACAUCUUCCUGUACGAGAAGGCCAUGCUAUUCUGCAAACCCGCCACCAAGAACAGCCAUAACAAAGCCACGUACCACUUCAAACAUGAACUUCAGAUGUCACAAAUCGGCCUAACGGAGUCAGUGAAGGGCGACCCCCGCAAGUUCGAGGUGUGGCGGCAGGGGCGCGCGGAGGUUCACACCAUUACUGCGCCCACGAUUGAGGUGAAGCGGGCCUGGGUGGAGCGCAUCAAGCGCGUGCUGCUCGACCAGCUCAAGGAGUUAAAGGGCGAGCGCGUGCGACAAUAUGGAGCCCACAGGACACUAAUCCAAGCGAGCUCUUGGGACUUAGCACCAGGCAGCGUGCCGCCGUCGCGGCCGCAACCCGCCGCUGCAACCCCCCGCACCGCCUCCUGCGAUACCCACGACGAGCCCUGCUGGUCCACCGACCCUUCAGAGGACGAGGAGGAUGAGCCUGACCAUGCGCCGGUGACGGAGGCCGUCGGUCUCAACGGUACCAUACACAGAAUGGUACAAUUCUUUUCGGUAUCGGGCUCGGCGCAUGCCACAUCUACGUUUUACGUAUCACAGUAUUAAAUAACCCUUGCGAGAUAUAAGAGGCUUGUACAUAAGACGAAAAGAGACUGAGUUAAUAUCCAAAGUUUUGUAACCAAAGAAUUAGACUGCGAACGUGGAUAUAAUAUGUCGAAACAGUAACUACCGUGCGGUGGGGUGCGCGCUAGUGGCGCUGUCAGACUACACGGCGGUGGGGGCCAGUGAGGUAUCGCUGCGCGAGGGGCAGCACGCCGAGCUGCUCAAAGUCGGCUGCGCUGGCUGGUGGUACGUGCGCCUGGCAG
rnacentral:misc_RNA from 1 species